rfam:TPA: Bos taurus chromosome 1, whole genome shotgun sequence.
CACAAGCUUCUUUUAAGAACCACUAAUUGAAACUAAGAAAAGUUAG